rnacentral:rRNA from 1 species
CUUGAGUUAUAAAUAUAAGAGGUCCAGCCUGCCCAGUGAUUAAAUUUAACGGCCGCGGUAUCCUAACCGUGCGAAGGUAGCGUAAUCACUUGUUCUUUAAAUGAGGACUAGUAUGAAUGGCACCACGAAGGUUUUACUGUCUCCUUUUCCUAAUCAGUGAAACUAAUCUUCCCGUGAAGAAGCGGGAAUAAGCGAAUAAGACGAGAAGACCCUAUGGAGCUUUAAACACAAUAACAAAUACUACUUUAAACAAAAAUUUCUUAAUGACUUACUCCCUGGUAUUAUGAUUAUUAGUUUUAGGUUGGGGUGACCGCGGGGAAAAACACAACCUCCACAUUGAAUGAUAAAAUCCUAAGCAAAGAAUCACAUUUCCACGCAUCAAUACAUUGACAUCAAUUGACCCAAUUAUUUUGAUCAACGAAC